AUUGAACGCUGGCGGCAUGCUUUACACAUGCAAGUCGGACGGCAGCGGGGUAGUGCUUGCACUACUGCCGGCGAGUGGCGAACGGGUGAGUAAUAUAUUGGAACGUACCGAGUAAUGGGGGAUAACCAAUCGAAAGAUUGGCUAAUACCGCAUACGCUCUGAGGAGGAAAGCAGGGGACCUUCGGGCCUUGCGUUAUUCGAGCGGCCAAUAUCUGAUUAGCUAGUUGGUGGGGUAAGGGCCUACCAAGGCGACGAUCAGUAGCGGGUCUGAGAGGAUGAUCCGCCACACUGGGACUGAGACACGGCCCAGACUCCUACGGGAGGCAGCAGUCGGGAAUUUUGGACAAUGGGCGCAAGCCUGAUCCAGCCAUGCCGCGUGUCUGAAGAAGGCCUUCGGGUUGUAAAGGACUUUUGUUAGGGAAGAAAAAGGAGCGGUUAAUACCCGUUUCUGCUGACGGUACCUAAAGAAUAAGCACCGGCUAACUACGUG
rnacentral:rRNA from 1 species